AGUGUUGUGUGUCCGUUGCGUGUUUGGUGUCCAUUGCUCUGUCCGGUUUUCUCCGCGAGGCUCCAAGUGACUCCGCCAUUGCCUCCAUGGCCCUGGGACCUGCAGGUACUGGAAGGUCCAUUGGGAAGAUGUCGGGACACCACAGAAGACAAGAACCAAUUCUGUUAGCCUAUCGAAAAUGCAAGAUGCAGUUCUUUCAUGGGAACACUUAUUAGAACUUAAGAAUAAUCAUUGUGAACAACUUACAGUAAAUAUUAAACAAAUGGAAAAUAUGGUUGGUGUACUACAAAAGGAGCUAUGUGAAGCAAAAGAAACACAAUUACAGUUAGAGCAUGAAAAAGGUCAAUGGGAACAAGAACGCUACAGUUUGAGAUGGAGCUGUCUAGUUGAAGGAAAACAAGCUCAGGACUUUCACUGAUUCUACAUCAUAAUGACCUUAAAAGAAGAAGAAAAGGGAAGAAAUGCUGAUAUAUUGCCUAAAAAAGACAGUGAACAGUUAAAAAGAAAAGAAAAGGAAUGUGGGAAAGAAGUUGAAACAACAACUCAAACAGACUCUGAAAUCACUGGUCACAGAAUUGAGG
rnacentral:lncRNA from 1 species